AUGAAUAAGAUAUCCAUCUUUCCUCUGAAUUUCUCCGAAAUGUUGAUGGAAGGCGGCAUCUUCCAAUGCUAUAUAUAUGCCCAUGUCUCUGAGCCUGGAAAAUGUUCCAUUUGCAACCACUGUCUACAUCAAGCUACAUAUAUUUCAUUCUCUCUCUUUUUCAUGUGGGCGAUGGUGAUUAUAGAUCAAAACAUCCUAAUCACAUUGGUGUCAUCUCUCCUGAUGUUGAUCUUGCGGCCAUUGAUCGUAGAUGUCAUCCUGGUAAGCAAAAAGAUCUGGAGCUUCUUGUGCACACUUACAAAAUACCUAGUGCAUGACGACACCCUUGUCGUCGACUCCGUGGUGCUUGGUGAUAGCCGCGCACCGCCGGCGCAACUAGUUGGCGGCGGCGGACUGACCUCUGGUGACAUAGAAAUUGUCACGACGAGGCUUGGUCUGACCGGGUGGAGGUACCAACCGUGUGAAGUAAUCAGUGUCGUAGAUGAGUUUAUGGACGGUAAGCAAGCGAGCGAGGAUGAGCUGGAGGAGGCCUUCUACGUUUUUGACCGUAACGAGGAUGGGUUCAUAUGCGCCGGGGAGUUGUGGAAUGUGAUGAGGAGGCUAGGGUGGAAAGAAGGGGCGAUGUAUGAGGACUGUGUGAGGAUGAUCUGCGCCUUCGAUGAGGAUGGAGAUGGGAAGAUCAACUUCCUAGAGUUUAGAAGGAUGAUGGAGAAUGCCGUUUAA
rnacentral:rRNA from 1 species